rnacentral:rRNA from 1 species
UACGUAGGGGGCUAGCGUUGUCCGGAAUCAUUGGGCGUAAAGCGCGUGUAGGCGGUCCGGUAAGUCCGCUGUGAAAGUCGGGGGCUCAACCCUCGGAUGCCGGUGGAUACUGUCGGGCUUGAGUACGGAAGAGGCGAGUGGAAUUCCUGGUGUAGCGGUGAAAUGCGUAGAUAUCGGGAGGAACACCUGAGGCGAAGGCGGGUUACUGGGCUGAUACUGACGCUGAUGCGCGAAAGCCAGGGGAGCAAACGGG